rnacentral:rRNA from 1 species
AUGCACGCUGGCGGCGUGCCUAAUACAUGCAAGUCGAGCGAACGGACGAGAAGCUUGCUUCUCUGAUGUUAGCGGCGGACGGGUGAGUAACACGUGGAUAACCUACCUAUAAGACUGGGAUAACUUCGGGAAACCAGAGCUAAUACCGGAUAAUAUUUUGAACCGCAUGGUUCAAAAGUGAAAGACGGUCUUGCUGUCACUUAUAGAUGGAUCCGCGCUGCAUUAGCUAGUUGGUAAGGUAACGGCUUACCAAGGCAACGAUGCAUAGCCGACCUGAGAGGGUGAUCGGCCACACUGGAACUGAGACACGGUCCAGACUCCUACGGGAGGCAGCAGUAGGGAAUCUUCCGCAAUGGGCGAAAGCCUGACGGAGCAACGCCGCGUGAGUGAUGAAGGUCUUCGGAUCGUAAAACUCUGUUAUUAGGGAAGAACAUAUGUGUAAGUAACUGUGCACAUCUUGACGGUACCUAAUCAGAAAGCCACGGCUAACUACGUG